UAGUAAUAUAGGUUUUUUUUUUUUUUUUGCAGAAAUCAAAAGUUCCCAAAAAGGAACAUCGUUGGUGUUGGAAAAGGAAGGUUGUGGAAAAGGAAGUGAAGUGCUUAGAAGCAGUGGUGGCCAAGGUGAGAGAAGAACUGAACAACAUGGAAAGGGCUGAACGGAAAGCCAAGGCAAGGAUGGGAAAGCUUCAGCGGAGAAAUUCAAAAACCAGAGAAGCGAACCGUCAAGCAGCAAUGAACAAUGCUGGGAUCCAAUUUUUCAUUGAUGCUAUCCUUCAUCAUUUGGACGAUUAAAUUUUCUUGAUUAAGAUUGCGUGGGGAUAAACGAUUGCCGUCCAUUCAUGCCGCCCCCACCCUUCCGCAGCGAUAUCUGAUUGUUUUUUGUACGGUUUUUUGAACACCUUUUUUUUUUUUUUUGUUUAUUUAUAUGUUACUAUUAAGAGUGUGAAUGAAUAAGAUACAAGAUACGCAGAACCUUUUUUGUCUUUAUCU